AUGACCUUCCAAGUUUUUAAAAGAAUACGAUGAUAUUAUUUGCGUUUCAAAUCGAACAAUUCUUCUCGGAGCGAUCUGAGGUUUUAAUGGAGAUAGCGGUUCCUGCGCAACCCAUUGAUCUUGUUACAUUCUUAAGAAUGACAAGGACGCUUUUAUAAAAUUCUGAUUCUUU
ensembl:snoRNA C/D box small nucleolar RNA (snoRNA) but not shown to be active; no target site is predicted within the ribosomal RNAs